UACGUAGGGUGCGAGCGUUAAUCGGAAUUACUGGGCGUAAAGCGUGCGCAGGCGGUGAUGUAAGACAGAUGUGAAAUCCCCGGGCUCAACCUGGGAACUGCAUUUGUGACUGCAUCGCUGGAGUGCGGCAGAGGGGGAUGGAAUUCCGCGUGUAGCAGUGAAAUGCGUAGAGAUGCGGAGGAACACCGAUGGCGAAGGCAGCCCCCUGGGCCAACACUGACGCUCAGGCACGAAAGCGUGGGGAGCAAACAGG
rnacentral:rRNA from 1 species